GCAAGUCGAACGGGAUCUCUUUUAACAAUCCUUCGGGUGCGUUGAUUGAGUGAGAGUGGCGAAAGGGUGAGUAACGCGUGAGCAACCUGCCUCUAUGUCGGGGACAACAGUUGGAAACGACUGCUAAUACCGGAUGUGGCUUCUAUAUCGCAUGUUUUAGAAGCUAAAGAUUUAUUGCAUAGAGAUGGGCUCGCGUACCAUUAGCUAGUUGGUGAGGUAACGGCUCACCAAGGCGACGAUGGUUAGGUGGUCUGAGAGGACGAUC
rnacentral:rRNA from 1 species